GCCUAAAGCGUCCGUAGCCGGCUCUGUUAGUUUUCGGUUAAAUCCAUAUGCUCAACAUAUGGGCCGCCGGGAAUACUACAAAGCUAGGGAGUGGGAGAGGUAGACGGUACUCCGUAGGAAGGGGUAAAAUCCUUUGAUCUAUGGAUGACCACCAGUGGCGAAGGCGGUCUACCAGAACACGUUCGACGGUGAGGGAUGAAAGCUGGGGGAGCAAACCGGAUUAGAUACCCGGGUAGUCCCAGCUGUAAACUAUGCAAACUCAGUGAUGCAUUGGCUUGUGGCCAGUGCAGUGCCGCAGAGAAGUCGUUAAGUUUGCCGCCUGGGAAGUACGUACGCAAGUAUGAAACUUAAAGGAAUUGGCGGGGGAGCACCACAAGGGGUGAAGCCUGCGGUUCAAUUGGAGUCAACGCCAGAAAUCUUACCCGGAGAGACAGCAGGAUGAAGGUCAAGCUGAAGACUUUACCAGACAAGCUGAGAAGUGGUGCAUGGCCGUCGCCAGCUCGUGCCGUGAGGUGUCCUGUUAAGUCAGGUAACGAGCGAGAUCCUUGCCUCUAGUUGCCACCAUUACUCUCAGGAGUAGUGGGGCGAAUUAGCGGGACUGCCGUAGUUAAUACGGAGGAAGGAGAGGGCCACGGCAGGUCAGUAUGCCCCGAA
rnacentral:rRNA from 1 species